GACGAACGCUGGCGGCGUGCUUAACACAUGCAAGUCGAAGAUAGUGGCGAAGGGGUGAGUAAUACGUGGGUAACCUGCUCUCCUUUUUGGGAUAAGCCUAGGAAACGGGGCCUAAUACCGAAUCAAGGGGGAUGGGCUCGCGGCCUAUCGGCUUGUUGGUGGGGUGAUGGCCUACCAAGGCGGUGACGGGUAGCCGGCCUGAGAGGCUGACCGGGCACAGUGGGACGGCGAUACGGCCCAGGCUCCUACGCGAGGCGGCAGUGGGGGAAAUUGCGCAAUGGGUGAACGCCUGAUGCAGCGACGCCGCGUGGGGGAUGAAGGCUUUCGGGUUGUGAGCCUCUUUCGCAAUCGAACGGGUAGGUAGAGAAGAAGCGCCGGCUAACUACGUGCCAGCAGCCGCGGUAAUAC
rnacentral:rRNA from 1 species